CCUGAAGUUGCGAUUCAAGAAAACUAAGGAUGGUAGCUGGAAUAAUUCCUCGAAUACCACCUCCAUCGAUGCUAAGAACAGUGAUUAAAUCUCCAUAAGUUGGAGGUUGGAUUUGAGAUGUUUUUCUCUCCAUUU